UCUCUCCGAGCUCAUCCACAGGUAAAGAGCUCACCCAUGCUCAGUGUUCAUUUAUUCACAGCAAUCAGAAAAUAGAAACAGCUUUGCUUUUCAUCAACUGAUAAAUGGAUAAUAAAAAUGCAACACAUUCACACAAAAGAAUUCUGUUCAUCUGUAAAGAAAAUGUAUAUGAAAAUGCCAGAGAAAGGAAUGGAGAUGAAAGGAAUCAUUCAAAAUGAGUGAUCCAUGUGAAAGAAAAGAUUGGAGCUGCCUCCUGAAGUGUACCACUAUCUCAGAAGAGUCCCUAGAUGAAGACAAGAACAGAAUGAUAAAUUCCUGGCAUCUGUCUGUUCUCAUUAAAGAAGUCCCGAUGGCUUGGC